GUCCUACAGUGAGCCACUCGAGCUGGGAGUACUUGUGGAAGUAGGAGGCGCCUGCAUGGCCGCCAGGAAUGUACAUGAAGCCGUCCUCAGAGUAGGUCAGCGUGUAGAUUUGGGGGUGAAGUGACCUUAGUCUGUAGAGAGCUUCGGGGGGAAGGACGAGGGUCGCGUACAGGGUUUGGAGUUUGGGCGAGUGUGCGAAGAGUGCGGUGACGAAGGAUGGGCUCAGGAAGUGCAGGGUGUCCCCGAUGAAUGCGAUGUUGGUGGGGAUGUUCUCCAGGCGUUUGAUGAUUGUUUCCUGUGGGUACCUGGGCACAUCUUUGGGCUCCACAUGUGCAUUGAGGAAGUGGUCCCCAUGGGUGGGUCCCCGGUGGAAGUGUCUGAGCUUGGCCGGUUUCAUAAAGAGAAAGGAAACUGGGUUCUCCUUGGGGAGAUAGUGGGACACUACCUCGUAGAGGUCGGACUCAAUCGCCUUGGCGGCCGCGUGGGUGUGUGGGGUUAUGGCGUAGGGGUGGGAGUUGAUGCCGAGUACCUCGAGAGCGUCGGCAGCUUCGGGGGAUUGGGCGAAAGGGUUGUUGUGUCUUGUUUGGGCGAGCUCACGCUUGAGGUGCCUGUAGGCUUCAUCUUGGAUGACAGCCUUGAGGGAGGGGUCCGUGAGCUGGGCGAAUACGUUCCGAACGUUAGACAUACCGUUAACCUAGCUUUGGAGCGAAUCGGUUACCACUGUAUGGCCGUGUAUGUCUGUUGACGUUUGGUUUG
rnacentral:misc_RNA from 1 species